rnacentral:rRNA from 1 species
GAUGAACGCUAGCGGCAGGCCUAACACAUGCAAGUCGAGGGGCAGCAUGGGGCAGCAAUGUCCCGAUGGCGACCGGCGCACGGGUGAGUAACACGUAUCCAACCUGCCCAUGACCAGGGAAUAACCCGCGGAAACGCGGCCUAAUGCCCUAUGUGCUCCGAAGAGGACAUCCGAUUUGGAGUAAAGAUUCAUCGGUCAUGGAUGGGGAUGCGUCCGAUUAGGUAGUAGGCGGGGCAACGGCCCACCUAGCCUGCGAUCGGUAGGGGUUCUGAGAGGAAGGUCCCCCACAUUGGAACUGAGACACGGUCCAAACUCCUACGGGAGGCAGCAGUGAGGAAUAUUGGUCAAUGGGCGAGAGCCUGAACCAGCCAAGUAGCGUGCAGGAUGACGGCCCUAUGGGUUGUAAACUGCUUUUAUGCGGGGAUAAAGUGCUCCACGUGUGGGGCAUUGCAGGUACCGCACGAAUAAGGACCGGCUAAUUCCGUG